GAACAACAUCCCCUUGAAGUGUGCAGUUCCUAAGUUUAUGUUAACUUAUAGAGAUGCAUCGGACAUUAAUUUCAGUUUUAGUGUUGUGUUGCCUUGGGUCCUGUGUUGGCCAGUCUCAAGGUAUCAUUGAUGCACUGUGUGGUAAGAUUGGCAAGUUACUUUUAUGUCAAUGUGCUGCUGAAGGGGCAUGCGAAGACGGUCAUCUUCCUGUAGGAAUGUGUCCAAGGAUCCCCGGGUUGCCAAUGCCACCCCGGCUACAAUGCUGUCCACCUAUUCACGUAAUGCUCUGCUUGCAGUCACAAAGAGGAAGUUCCAACAGGGCUCAAACGAGAAAUUCACUUCUAUACCCGGGGGCUAAACCACAACCCUUUAUAUGAUUUACAUUAUAAAAAGGAUUGUGUUAUGUUUGACAUCCGAAAAGUGAAAUCAAGAAGACAUUGAUGUGUUAUAUUGAAACAGAAUUAUUCUUCAAAUACAACAUUGUCAUAUCCAGUCGAGCUUAUUUAUUCUAUUAUAACAUGGAUAUUUUAUAAACAACUAAAGUUAUGAUAAUGUUCCAUGAUGGGUUUCUAAAAGAAAUGUGAAACACCUCUACAGAGGUAGAAAAAAUAAAGAUACUUUCAAAUUA